rnacentral:tRNA from 1 species
GCCUGGGUGGCGAAAUGGCAGACGCAGCAGACUUAAAAUCUGCGGUCCGUAAGGGCGUGCGGGUUCGAGUCCCGCUCCGGGCA